ensembl:lncRNA
CUAUAUAUCCUGGCUUCUCCCUCACCUCUUCAGAGCAGCCCCUCUAAGAGGCUGUAUCUUGGGCUACAGUGCUCACCCUCAAAGGAAAGAUCUACUGAAGAGAAGAGGUUCCUGAAACUUUGGCAAAGCAAGGGAUGCCUCUGCUCCUCUGGAUAGCAGACAACCCACAGAGAGACACAGGCUCAGCCAGCGGCUGCCCCCGGCAGUUCCACCCUGUUAUCCCAGCUCCAGAGGAAAGGAGAGGCCGCUGCUGCCAUCCAGGGAAGAAACUGAGAUCUGAAUGAUAAGAAGGGAAGAAAUCACCAGGUUCAAGCCCCGUUUAAGAGAUCCAUGGGACAUAUGAUCUCAGGUUCCCAGGAGAAGACUUGUCCGGAAUCGUCCAUCCAGGAGCCGCUGGCACACAGCUGGUAUUUCAAUGCACUGGAAUGUGCGAGGUCACAGGUGAAGCAGAG